rnacentral:rRNA from 1 species
GUAGGUGGCAAGCGUUGUCCGGAAUUAUUGGGCGUAAAGCGCGCGCAGGCGGUUCUUUAAGUCUGAUGUGAAAGCCCACGGCUCAACCGUGGAGGGUCAUUGGAAACUGGAGAACUUGAGUACAGAAGAGGAAAGCGGAAUUCCACGUGUAGCGGUGAAAUGCGUAGAGAUGUGGAGGAACACCAGUGGCGAAGGCGGCGUUCUGGUCUGUAACUGACGCUGAGGCGCGAAAGCGUGGGGAGCAAACAGGAUUAGAUACCCUGGUAGUCCACGCCGUAAACGAUGAGUGCUAAGUGUUAGGGGGGUUUUCCGCCCCCCUUAGUGCUGCAGCUAACGCAUUAAGCACUCCGCCUGGGAUACGGCCGCAAGGCUG